GCCCUUGUGGCGGAAUUGGUAGACGCGGCAGACUCAAAAUCUGCUGUUCUUAAGAAUGUGGGAGUUCGAGUCUCCCCGAGGGUACCA
rnacentral:tRNA from 1 species